UGUGACUUCCAUUUCUACUCUCCCAUUAGAGCAAAAGAAGAACUAAUUACUUUUCUUUUUGCUUAUUUUCAAAUCCUUCUUUACCUUGUAAACCAAGUUCUGUGAAGCAGAAAGUCACCUCUGCAUCUCAUGUAAAUGUAGUUUAUUUAUAACUCUGAAGGGAAACAUACUUGCUUGGGUAGAAAUGCCAUUGUUUGCUCUCCACUGUAUAUUUCUGUUGACUGGACUUAAAUCCAGGUUAACUGUUUGAAUUCAUCAAGGAAUCAAAAGGGAAGCCCUACAGAAAUAUACUACCAGUCUUUUUAGACUUAUCUAACUACUAGAAUGUAAUUUUCUCAACUUUUUUUCCAGUUGGUCACUGGGGCUGUUUCUCACCUUGGAAUCACUGUGGUGAUUAAUAGGCCUGUUGUGUUCAUGUGAUUUCACUUCAUGGUCUGCAGGGGCCCAUAAGAAACGUUGGGUGAAUCCCAAGGACCACAAGUGAGAGGAAGAUUCCAGGAGGAGGGGGAGAGGGAAGUGCCUGCACCUCUCCACAAGCUGCAUCAUCCACCUCCAGUGCCAGCAGAAUGAAGAGGUUAAAUAUGAGAGCAGACUCCCUUAGGGGAAGGAGAUGUAUGUAUGGGGCUCAGCCAGACAUAAAUUACUGUUGCUCUUCCCCCUGCUCAGAGGGGAGACAGUGAGGGGAGCAGCACCUCCCAAGCACUGAUGUUUGGGGUGUGUGUUUGGGAGCCAGUGAGGCUGUGCUGAGGUGUCAGAAUGGGCCCAGCUGUGCUGGAGCACGUGUGAGCUGGGCUGUGCUCUUGGCACAGGGCACUGUGGGGUUCAUGGAAUCAUGGAAUAGCUGAAGGCACCUGCAAAGAUCGAGUCCAGCUGCUGGCCGUGCUCAGGACACCCCUGUGAUCCCCCCUGUGCCUGAGGAGCACUGUCCAAAGGCUCCUGGAGCUCUGGCAGCCAAGGGGCUGUGACCAUUCCCUGGGGAGCCUGUUCAGUGCCUGACCACCCUCUGGGGAAAGAACCUUUUCCUGAUAGCCAGCCUGAACCUCUUCUCCAGCAUUCCUACUCUACCAGAUUCUGAGCAGUGCCCAGCUUGCCCUGUUUUGCUGUUAAGAGGGACAGACUCCUCUUGUCUGCAUUUCAUUAGGAUGGCUGCAGAGGUGAUGAUGAGCUGUUGUCACCUGCUUUGGGGAAAAAUGUCUACAGAUCAGUCAGGAUGACAGUAGCAAUCACAGUGGGCUUCUGUGUUCAGUGUCCUGUGCUCUGAAUUCACCCAUCUUACAGUAAAGGUGGAGAAAGAGUAAAGGCAGCUUCGUUUCCAGCUCUGUCUCCUGGCUGCCUCCUCCCUGUCUGGAGCCUCCUUGGCAGGGUGUGCUCUGCACGCCCCAGCCCUUACUGGAGGGACAAGGCCGUGAUCAGGGAUGCUGCUCAUGUGCUUGGAAUUCUCCUCAUUGCCAGCCUCGACUGCUCUGUUGUGCUCUUUGGUGGGAUCUUCAGUGAGUCUGGUCAUCGGGGAGAGCGAGAUAACACACCCUUGCUGACGGCAUCACUCAGGGUGCAUCCACCACGAUGAGCGUGUUCCUCCGCUGGGAUCUUCCCCUAUUGGUUCUUUCUGGCCAGCAGCAUUUUUCUUUUACUCUGGAUGCUUUGGGUUGUGCAAUCGCAGCGCGGCCUCAUCGGCUGGACCCUUCUCUUAACAGCCUCUUGAUUCCUUUGCUAAUUUGGCUGUGGGCUUUCAUCAGUUAUAAAACAGGGUGACACAGUAUGUGACUAUUGCAUUCUCCUGCCUUGACUCACUGGCUGUGAUUGCAGAGCAGUGACCCCCCUGCUGCUAGCUGGAGCAGCCCUCCGUGACUCGGCUUCGGGAAUAUGGGAUGUGAAAGCUUGCACAGACAGGCUGUGUGAAUGUUAGUCCAAAUGCCACAGUAAAUCUGCCCCUGAGGGCUGGGUCUGUUAUGGCAGGUUUGUAAUCCCCCAUGGAUUACACUGGUCACAGGUACCUGAGCAAAGCCUUCUGUGCCUUUAGGAACCCAAUGGAGAGCAGAAAAGGCCCGUGGGGAGACAGGGGCGUGUUGGGAUUGGGAUGUAGCUUGGCAAUGUGUUCACCUGCAUUGCUGAGCUCAAGAAUUUACAGAUCUUGCUGUUACCUCCAUCCCAAAAAAUGGUGGUAUCACCUGGGCUAAGGCCUGUUCUCACCCACGUGGAGAAAAUCAGAAUCAUAGAAUCUCCUGGACUGUGGACGAGACCCAGAAGGAACAUUUGGAUGUCAAGUCCAAUUCCUGGCCCUGCACAUGAUUCCAUGUUUCCAAUGCCUUCUGCCUCCUCCUGUGUAUCCUGUCUGCUUCAGAGAAGGUAGUAUAUUCAGAAGCUCAUAAGGAAUUAAUUCUGCACCUUGUCCUUGAGUGCAGCCAUGCUUUUGACUGGAAGAUAAUUUGAAGAUGAACUUGCAUGAAAGGCUCCCUCCACAUUUUAGGCAGAUUACUUCAGAGGGGUUUGUGAGAGGGACUGAGUGUUCCCUGAUGAGACUGUAACCUUCAGAAAUGAGAUGGAAAGCAGCUUCUUGCCAAGGAUGAGUGUGCUCAGGGGGGCUUCCAUGGGGCUCAUCUGCAGUAGGGCACUGACCAGUCUGAAUUUCCUUUAGCCCACAGUGGGACCUUGUACAAGCACUGGGAGUUUGCUCUGGCUGACUGGUGUAUUUCUGUUCCAGUUCUGUGGUUUUCUGCUAAUUGCUUGUUGAUAAAUGAGUGUAGCCUUGCGUAGUCCUUAGCAGAAGAAACUGUCACUUCUUCUGUCAGGUGGACUUGAGCUCGGUGGGCUGUCCCAGGACUGCUCCAGGUACUGCUGGAGCACUUGCACUUGAUCCAAGUAUUUUUACUCCUCUUAUUUACUGCUGUGACAGAGGAAUGCAGCUGCACAGGUGGACCUGGCAGAACUAGGGAGGUUUCCUGUCUCAGCUGCGGUUACUCUACAGAGCACUGGAGGCAUCCAAUUUCAGCAUCUCCGUGAUGAAGCCAGAAAGAGGGGAAGCCAAUAAACCAAAGACAACCUA